GGUCUCGUGGCCUAAUGGAUAAGGCGUUGGUUUUCGGAACCAAAGAUCCAAAGAUUGUGGGUUCGAGUCCCACCGAGAUCG